GGUUCAGGAUGAACGCUAGCGGCAGGCUUAACACAUGCAAGUCGAGGGGCAACGCGAGUAGCAAUACUUGGCGGCGACCGGCGCAAGGGUGCGUAACGCGUGAGCAACAUGCCCGUAUCAGGGGGAUAAUCCAGGGAAACUUGGUCUAAUACCCCAUAGUAAUUUUGUAAGGCAUCGUUAUAAGAUUUAAAGCUUUGGUGGAUACGGAUUGGCUCGCGUGACAUUAGCUGGAUGGUAAGGUAACGGCUUACCAUGGCUAUGAUGUCUAGGGGUUCUGAGAGGAAGGUCCCCCACACUGGAACUGAGACACGGUCCAGACUCCUACGGGAGGCAGCAGUGAGGAAUAUUGGACAAUGGAUGGAAAUCUGAUCCAGCCAUGCCGCGUGAAGGAAAAGGAAGGUCCUAUGGAUUGUAAACUUCUUUUGUAUGGGAGCAAUAAGGCCUACGAGUAGGUUGAUGAGAGUACCAUACGAAUAAGCACCGGCUAACUCCGUGCCAGCCGCUGC
rnacentral:rRNA from 1 species